AAUUGCUCCACGCGUGAUACUGGGGUUUCCUUCAAUUGGUUUCCUCUUCUGAAGGCUAAUCUUGUGCAGCCUGUUAUCCAAGUGUCCAUCAGAAGAUGAAUGGAUAAAGAAGACGUGGUCUAUGUAUACAAUGGAAUAUUCCUCAGCCAUUAGAAACGACAAAUACCCACCAUUUGCUUCGAUGCGGAUGGAACUGGAGGGUAUAGUGCUGAGUGAACGUCACCAUAAAAAUCAGCUACGCUGUUGGGUAGACCGAUGUCACAUCUGCCGUUUAAUAUAGGCCGUUCCAACAAUAAUGGUGUUUGAGAAAUGAUACUAAGCAUCACAGCAAAAAGCAUCCAGUGCCCUUUAAUAUUGCUACACAGAAAAGGUCACAAAG